AUUGAACGCUGGCGGCAGGCUUAACACAUGCAAGUCGAGCGAGCGGCGGACGGGUGAGUAAUGUCUGGGAAACUGCCUGAUGGAGGGGGAUAACUACUGGAAACGGUAGCUAAUACCGCAUACCAUCAGAUGUGCCCAUAUGGGUUUGGCUAGUAGGUGGGGUAAUGGCUCACCUAGGCGACGAGCCCUAGCUGGUCUGAGAGGAUGAACCGCCACACUGGGACUGAGAAACGGUCCAGACGCCUACGGGAGGCAGCAGUGGGGAAUAUUGCACAAUAUGCGCAAGCCUAAUGGAGCCAUGCCGCGUGUGAGAAGAGGGACUUCGGGUUGUAAAGCACUUUCAGCAAGGAGGCGUUACUCGCAGAAGAAGCACCGGCUAACUCCGUGCCAGCAGCCGCGGUAAUUC
rnacentral:rRNA from 1 species